GUGUGGUGGGAGCACGUGUGUUCUAACUUCAUUGAUUUACAUGCAUGUCUCCAACUUUCCCAGCACCACUUGCUGAAGAGACUUUUUCCCAUUGUGUAUUCUUGUGUCCUUUGUCAAAUAUUAAUUGACCAUAGGUGUGUGGGUCUAUUUCUGGCCUCUGUUAUUUAAAGAUACAUUAAAACAGUAUAAGAACUGAGGAAGAUUGGGGGAAUCCACCAACAAGUCCAGAGCUGAAACAAGUCCAGAGCUGAGAGCACAGAAGAGUGUAAGGCAUCAGUGCUGAGACGCCUGCUGUGGUCAGCUGAGUAACGUCCCCAAAGAUGUCCAUGUUCUAAUACCCGAACGUUGUGAAUAUGUGAACUUACGUAGCAAAAGGGAGUUGGCAGAUGUGGUCCUGCUAAGCACCUUGAGAUGCACAGGUGACCUGGGUUUUACAGGUGGUCCAGUGGUCAUCACAUGGGUCACCUGUAAAGAGGACGUCAGAGGAGUAUUUGGUUACAAGAUGCUGAGCUGCUCGUUUUGAUGAUCAAGGAAGGGGCCACAAGCUCAGGAUGGCAGACGCCUCCAGAAGGUGGAAAGAGGAAGGAAAUAGAUUCUCCCCUGGAGCCUCGAGAAGAAACCAGCCUGCAGGAUCCCUUGAGUUUAGAGCUUUGGGUUUUAAAACGAGACUGCAAACUCCGGGAAAGAAGGGCUCAAGUGUCUCCGGCUCACCUUCCAAAGGAGCAGUAUCUCUACCUGCUGCCCCAUCCGGCUCGAUCCGUGAGAAGCAGAGGGAGGGAGGGGGUUGCCGUGUCAGGCGCGACCCCACGCCUCUGCAGGGUUCCUCUCUCGUUGCCAAGAUCCUGGCAUGUGGAACACGGCGCAGGGAUUCAGAUGCACCAUGGCUUACGUUCCGGGGACACAGUAAGGAGAUAGUUAACCAUUACCCUCUAAUGCUGAUGGCUCCAGCGCUGCACCCCUUCCGUCUGAAGCAAAUGGUUUGUGCACCUGCGUAGACAACGUGGUUUUACUUCAUCACAGUAGAGACAGUGUGGGCUCCUGAACGGCCUCUUCUCAUCACUUCUGGGUCUUCUUCAGCCACCCAGCCAGGCUCUCCAUGAAUAAUGCCUGAAAAAGAAUGCACAGCCAGGAGCCUUGCCCCAAGGUCAAGGCAGCUGAGGCCGAAUCGCUGCUUUGUCCAGGCAGGGGUUCUGCACUGCAACAGGAAUGCAAUUGCCACGUCCAACCUUCAGAUCUCGGGUCGCAGAAGAGGCAGCCCACCCUCAAGCCUUUCCAGCCCAAGAGAAAGGUGCUUUCCCCUUUGUGCCUGUGAGCGCCAGGCUCCAUCCCCCUCCUGCCUCUGUGCACCCUUCUGCAAGUCACUCGCCUCUUUACUUUUUCUGCACGAUGGGAAGCUUGCCUGCAAGGUGGUUAGUGAUGGAGAUGGGACCUCCAUAUUUGCGUCACUGUCACCGACAAGGUGAGGACCUGCCAGUUCCUGUCUCUCUCCAGGAGAGGAGGAGCAGACCACUUCCCAGGGGAAUCUGAGUCAGCUAAGUACAUGCUGCGACCGUCUGAUGGAAACACCAAGUGAUUUCUACUGGGGAAUCUCUGAGAAAUACUGUAAAGCCAUUACCUUCUUCGAACAGACCAUCUGUCUCCCGGUAUCAUUGAAAACAGCCAUCGCUUAAAAGGCAACUCAGCCCAGCCUGGUCAGGUGCUAAUAAUCAAGGACAUGAGUUAAUAAGGCAAAAUAAUUAGAGGAUUAGUGUCAUGACCUACCUGAACCAAGGGACUCGAACGCAGGAAGCAGUGCCACUCGAGGACGUCAGGGCAGCGCUGACACCCUUUAAUAAGUCAAGGAUGCAGUGUCCAUCACAAACCUUCCCUGCUCUGAUUGCCUGAGAUUUAUGGGAUCCUGAUGAGUCACCAGGGACGUGAAAUCAUAACUAGAACAAUGAAACAGCGUGUCACAGCUCAGCGUACGUGGUCGACCCUUCCUGACAACAUCUCAUAACCACAGAACAGAGGAGAUGCCUGUGUUAUCCCGACGUAAAUAUGGACCCCAGGAGAAACCAGCUCUUUGGACCCACGGGUGGAUGAACAUCUGAAAUUAGGCUGUGAUGUUGUCUGAAUCUUGUGCCCCUCCCCUUGAAGGUGGGUGUGAUCUAACUCACUGUGACACAAGAGCGUCCAGCCGGUCCAUCAGGACGGUCUCCAGGGACAGGUCCCGAGGAGGGAGUCUUAAGGAAAGUGAUGUCUUGAGUCUGAAGGGAAGCAGCCUCGAAGAAGAAAGAGGGCUGUUAAAGCAGGAAGCAGAACAAUGGUUGCCAGGGGCUGGCCGUGGAGGAACCAUGUCGGCAACAAAAUGACGGGAGAGCGUGGAAAUGUACACAACUCAGCAGUGGUGCUGAUUCCACAACCGUGCACAGGGCUCAACACUCACCCACCUGUCCACCUGAAAGGGCUGCUUUUACUGAAAACAAUUACGUCUCAGUAAACGUGAACAGAAAACCAAAGGGGCCUAAUCGUUUUCAUUCCUUUCCUGCAUGAGUCAGAUGGGUGAAGAUACGCACAAGCAGUUCUUUCACUUUUACGUAAAAAAUCUGCGCUGUUGCUGUUUACAACAGCCAAGACGUGGAAGCAAACUAAACCACCACCGAGAGAGGAAUGGGUAAAGAAGAGGUGGUUCAUGUAUACAAUGGAAUAUUACUCGGCCAUGAAAAAGAAUGAAAUAGUGCCAUUGGCAGCAACAUGGAUGGACCUAGAGAUGAUCAUACUAACUGAAGUGCCUGAGAAGCAGCAUGCCCGCCACCACAUCUGCAAUGUGCAGGCACAGUUUCUAAAGGGAAACCUGUACAACUGAACCACAGGGAGUCCUUCUGGAGACCCCGUUACAGACUGUUUACAACAGCUGAGACGUGGAAGCAACCUAAGUGCCCAUCGACAGAGGAACGGAUAAAGAAGAUGUGCUACCUAUACACACAGGGGAAUAUUACUGAGCCAUGAAAAAGAAUGAAACCAUGCCAUUGGCAGCAACAUGGGUGGACCCAGAGAUGAUCAUACUGAGUGAAGCUCUUUGAGUUGAUGCUUUUGUCUGUCUUGAUCACUGCUGUGUCCCAGCACCUAGAAGCCUGCCAGUGUGAUGGUCUCUUCUUGCUUGAAAUCUUGAACUAAAGUAAGGAUUGAGGAAACACCCAGUAUGCACGUCCGUGCUGCAAACAGCUGAGUGAUAAAGACAGAAAAAUACAGAUAAGGAUUCCGCUGAUGGGCUCAGGAAAGUCCAUUAGACCUGUUCUGCACCACUGUGUCUGUGAUCAAGCGACUGAACGUGCCGUGGGACUCUCGGACACAUGUGGAAGAACUCCGGUGACAGGAGGAUGCUUGUGUGAACACAGAAGACGCGUAGAAGUACGCAGGCCUCUCAGUGUUGUGGCCUCUCCCAUUGCAGAGCACAGCCUCUGGACGCACAGGCUCAGCGGCCAUGGCUCACAGGCCCAGCCGCUCUGUGGCACAUGGGAUCUUCCCAGACCAGGGCACGAACCCGCGUCCCCUGCAUCAGCAGGUGGACUCUCAACCACUGCGCCACCAGGGAAGCCCGACCUAUUUUCAUUUAUAUUUUUAUAAGAUACUCUGGCUUUUAUGAGAGCAGUGGACAAAGAGAGACACUGUGUUAUCUGCUAGGACUGUCAUCAUAGAGGACCACAGAUGGGCGGCUUCAACACAAAUGGAUUUUCUCACGGUCCAGGAGCCUGGAAGCCUAGGAUUCAGGAGCCAGCAGGGUUGGCUGCUGGUGAGAUUUCUCUACCUGGCUUGUAGAUGGCUAUCGGCUAUCUUCUUGCUGUGUCCUCCCAUGGAGGAGCGGGAGAGGGGGAGAGGG